rnacentral:rRNA from 1 species
AGGUAGUGCCUCAAGUAUUACCUGCGGGGGUAGAGCACUGUUUAGGCUAGGGGGUCAUGGCGACUUACCAAACCUUAGCAAACUCCGAAUACCGCAGAGUACAGCUUGGGAGACAGAGCACCGGGUGCUAACGUCCGGACUCAAGAGGGAAACAACCCAGACCGCCAGCUAAGGUCCCUAUUAUUGGCUAAGUGGGAAACGUAGUGUGAAGGCUAAAACAGUCAGGAUG